ensembl:lncRNA
GUUGUGAUAUUGCACUUCCAAAGAGGCCGGUGUUUUGUGUUAACAACACCGAAAUUCCUAGCAACCUGAUGUGUUUAUUGUAUGUCUUUGGUCUUCUCCCGGUGUAACUCAGUAGGAAUCACUGCAUUCCUCUUGAUUUACGUUGGUACGAAUGAAUAGAUUUACACCGACACAAAUGUAUUUUUGUUCCAAAUAGAUAUCAAAUAAGCACAAUUCCAGUAAACCUAAAGCCAUGCAUUCCAUCUUCUGAAUGUAUUUCUUCAGGCAAAAAAAUUGACGUAUAGUUAACAUAGGACUUUGUUUAAGACCCAUGCCAUGCACAGAGAUUAGAGACCCAUCAGUUGCUAUUCGUGAGAAAAACUGUUUGAGCAAUGUUUUUCUUCCACCAGCUAAUGAUAACAGAUAGGCUGCCAGUAGCAAUCCUGCCACCUGUUGAGCUUCAUCUCUCAUACUCUACCACUGACAGCACAAACAGAUCUAAACGACUGCAGCAAGCGGCUGAAGAAAGAAAAAAGGAAACAAGAAAGCUUGUGUCCAGCCCCACUGUGACUGAAAUAAGAACAGAUACUGCUCAGGACACUGGGAUGCUCUCUGCCAAAUAUUGCCAUGGACCAAGCAUGCUCAGUGCCAGAGAGGGCUCGGCUGACCUAUACUGCAGGAGGAAGAAUCUCCACAGUGUUGUGGUGGAAUAAAGGAAUAAUUCUUUUCCCUCAGCUGAAAGAAGUAGCCCCACACACCAGUGAAAGUGACACUUCAUCUUCCAUCAAAUCUGCCCCUAGGAACAGCUUUUGCAGAAUGGCUCUUCUGUAUUUGCAUUAAUAUUGCCUUGAGACAUCAUGGCCACAGCUGCAUGGAACACGUGUGCACUGUGCACCUCACUUCAGAAGAUAUGCUACAUUUGGAGGGGAGGGUAUGCAUGCCCACAGAAUGGAGAAAGUCAAAGAUCUAACUACAUACAAACAGUUCUUCUAUAGGCAUUCCUAGAUGCCAUUUAUGCAGACUGAAAACAAACAUCCAGAGACAUGCCCAUUUGGGAAUAUUGGGCUAACCUAACUCUGCCUCCUCCUGGAGUUCCUAAGGAGACCAGAUCAGAAAUAGAUGACUAAUAUUUAAUGGUUCCAUGCUGUCUAUUAAUGUUGACAAUCAUCUGUUCUUUGAUAUACUUUAAACAAGACCUAAUUAAAAGCUCUGAAGUCAAGAGCGAUGCUCACAGAAUCUUUGAUUCAUUUAAAGUGCCAUUUAAUAAUCUGGGCUUUUGUAACUGCUGCCAUUUUUUUUUUUUCUCCUGUUUGGUCACAUUCUUUUAGAAAUUGAUUCAGGUGCCC